rnacentral:tRNA from 1 species
CUUGAGGUAGCCGAGUUGGUCCAAUGAAGCGCGACAUUAUCGCUGCCCUCCGAGAGGGCGUGAGUUCGAAUCUCACCCUCAGUA